rnacentral:tRNA from 1 species
GUCUCAUUCGUUCAAUAGGAGAGGACAGAGGACUUCUAAUCCUCCAAUACGGGUUCGAAUCCUGUAUGAGACA